rnacentral:rRNA from 1 species
UGACCUCGGAUCAGGCAGGGAUACCCGCUGAACUUAAGCAUAUCAAUAAGCGGAGGAA